ACGAGAUAGGAACCUCGGUUCUAUUUUGUUGGUUUUCGGAAUCUGAGGUAAUGAUCAAUGGGGACAGGCGGGGGCAUUCGUAUUGCGACGUUAGAGGUGAAAUUCUUGGAUCGUCGCAAGACGGACCGAAGCGAAAGCAUUUGCCAAGUAUGUUCUCGUCGAUCAAGAACGAAAGUUAGAGGUUCGAAGGCGAUCAGAUACCGCCCUAGUUCUAACCAUAAACUAUGCCUGCCAGCGAUCCGCCGAAGUUCCUCCGAUGACUCGGCGGGCAGCUUCCGGGAAACCAGAGCUUUUGGGUUCCGGGGGAAGUAUGGUUGCAAAGCUGAAACUUAAAGGAAUUGACGGAAGGGCACCACCAGGAGUGGAGCCUGCGGCUUAAUUUGACUCAACACGGGAAAACUCACCAGGCCCGGACACCGGAAGGAUUGACAGAUUGAGAGCUCUUUCUUGAUUCGGUGGGUGGUGGUGCAUGGCCGUUCUUAGUUGGUGGAGCGAUUUGUCUGGUUAAUUCCGAUAACGAACGAGACUCUAGCCUACUAACUAGGCGUACCCGGUAUCCACAAUCGUGCUACCGGCGAUCAAAUUUCUUCUUAGAGGGACAGGCGGCUUCUAGCCGCACGAGACUGAGCAAUAACAGGUCUGUGAUGCCCUUAGAUGUCCUGGGCCGCACGCGCGCUACACUGAAGGAAUCAGCGUGUCUUCCCUGUCCGAAAGGACCGGGUAAUCCGCUGAACCUCCUUUGUGCUAGGGAUUGGGGCUUGCAAUUGUUCCCCAUGAACGAGGAAUUCCCAGUAAGCGCGAGUCAUAAGCUCGCGUUGAUAUCCCCUCGUCGCGCAUAUUAUA
rnacentral:rRNA from 1 species